rnacentral:tRNA from 1 species
GGGGUUGUGGCUCAGAUGUAGAGUGUUCACCUAGCAUGCGUGAGGCACUGGGUUCGAUCCUCAACACCA